CCUACGGGAGGCAGCAGUGAGGAAUAUUGGUCAAUGGGCGGGAGCCUGAACCAGCCAAGUCGCGUGAGGGAAGACGGUCCUAUGGAUUGUAAACCUCUUUAGGCGGGGAGCAAUGCCGGGCAUGCGUGCCCGGAGGGAGAGUAACCGCAGAAUAAGCAUCGGCUAACUCCGUGCCAGCAGCCGCGGUAAUACGGAGGAUGCGAGCGUUAUCCGGAAUUAUUGGGUGUAAAGGGUGCGUAGGCGGGAUUGUAAGUCAGCGGUAAAAUGUCACGGGUUAACCCCGGCCCGGCCGUUGAAACUGGGGGUCUAGAGUGUGCGAGAGGUAGGCGGAAUGCGUGGUGUAGCGGUGAAAUGCGUAGAUAUCACGCAGAACUCCGAUUGCGAAGGCAGCAUACCGGCGCCCGACUGACGCUGAGGCACGAAAGCGUGGGGAUCGAACAGGAUUAGAUACCCUGGUAGUC
rnacentral:rRNA from 1 species